rnacentral:rRNA from 1 species
GAUGAACGCUAGCGGCAGGCUUAAUACAUGCAAGUCGUGGGGCAGCAGGACUGUAGCAAUACAGUUGCUGGCGACCGGCAAACGGGUGCGGAACACGUACGCAACUUACCCUGAACUGGGGGAUAGCCCGGGGAAACCCGGAUUAAUACCCCGUAAUAUAAUGGAGUGGCAUCACUUUAUUAUUAAAGCUCCGGCGGUUCGGGAUGGGCGUGCGGCUGAUUAGGUAGUUGGUUGAGGUAACGGCUCACCAAGCCUACGAUCAGUAACUGGUGUGAGAGCACGACCAGUCACACGGGAACUGAGACACGGGCCCGACUCCUACGGGAGGCAGCAGUAAGGAAUAUUGGGCAAUGGAGGCAACUCUGACCCAGCCAUGCCGCGUGGAGGAUGAAGGCCCUCUGGGUUGUAAACUUCUUUUAUAGGGGAAGAAACCUGUGUAUUCUUACGCAGUUGACGGUACCCUAGGAAUAAGCACCGGCUAACUCCGUG